rnacentral:rRNA from 1 species
AGAGUUUGAUCAUGGCUCAGAGCGAACGCUGGCGGCGUGCCUAACACAUGCAAGUCGAGCGGGAAAGUUCCCUUCGGGGAGCGAGUACAGCGGCGAACGGGUGAGUAACACGUAGGUAACCUACCCUAGAGUCCGGGAUAACCUGCCGAAAGGCGGGCUAAUACCGGAUAAGACCACGAGGGUUGCGGCCCUUGGGGUAAAAGAUGGCCUCUGCUUGCAUGCUAUCACUCUGGGAUGGGCCUGCGCGCCAUUAGCUAGUUGGUGGGGUAACGGCUCACCAAGGCAGAGAUGGCUAGCUGGUCUGAGAGGAUGGCCAGCCACACUGGGACUGAGACACGGCCCAGACUCCUACGGGAGGCAGCAGUGGGGAAUAUUGCGCAAUGGGCGAAAGCCUGACGCAGCGACGCCGCGUGGGUGAUGAAGGCCUUCGGGUCGUAAAGCCCUGUCAAGAGGGACGAAACCUCGCCGACCUAACAUGUCGGCGACCUGACGGUACCUCUGAAGGAAGCACCGGCUAACUCCGUGCCAGCAGCCGCGGUA